GACGUAGGGCGCGAGCGUUGUCCGGAUUUAUUGGGCGUAAAGAGCUCGUAGGCGGCUUGUCGCGUCGCUCGUGGAAAAACCUGCAGCUCAACUGCAGGCUUGCGGCGAUACGGGCAGGCUAGAGUUCGGUAGGGGGAGACUGGAAUUCCUGGUGUAGCGGUGAAAUGCGCAGAUAUCAGGAGGAACACCGGUGGCGAAGGCGGGGUCUCUGGG
rnacentral:rRNA from 1 species